rnacentral:rRNA from 1 species
UACGUAGGGUGCAAGCGUUAAUCGGAAUUACUGGGCGUAAAGCGUGCGCAGGCGGUGAUGUAAGACAGUUGUGAAAUCCCCGGGCUCAACCUGGGAACUGCAUCUGUGACUGCAUCGCUGGAGUGCGGCAGAGGGGGAUGGAAUUCCGCGUGUAGCAGUGAAAUGCGUAGAUAUGCGGAGGAACACCGAAGGCGAAGGCAGUGUCCUGGCGAGUAUCCUGACGCUGAGGUGCGAAAGCCAGGGGAGCGAACGGG